AUUGAACGCUGGCGGCAGGCCUAACACAUGCAAGUCGAACGAGUGGCGGACGGGUGAGUAAUGUCUGGGAAACUGCCUGAUGGAGGGGGAUAACUACUGGAAACGGUAGCUAAUACCGCAUACCAUCGGAUGUGCCCAGAUGGGAUUAGCUAGUAGGUGGGGUAAUGGCUCACCUAGGCGACGAUCCCUCGCUGGUCUGAGAGGAUGACCAGCCACACUGGAAACUAGACACGGUCCAGACUCAUACGGGAGGCAGCAGUGGGGAAUAUUGCACAAUGGGCGCAAGCCUGAUGCAGCCAUGCCGCGUGUAUGAAGAAGGCCAUCGGGUUGUAAAGUACUUUCAGCGGGGAGGCGUUACUCGCAGAAGAAGCACCGGCUAACUCCGUGCCAGCAGCCGCGGUAAUAC
rnacentral:rRNA from 1 species